rnacentral:sRNA from 1 species
CCACUUCGAUUUGUUGCGGGCAGAUAAAGUGAAUGUGGCUAUCUAUCCCCCCGGCGGUGAGGAUCAUUCCUUCUCCGGCGAUCGCUUCGGUGCCGGGGCCAAUAAUAAUAUCGACGUUAUCUUGAAUGUAAGGAUUUCCGGCUUUGCCAAUUUUGUAUAUUUUGCCGUCUUUAAUCCCAAUGUCGGCUUUGAUGAUGCCCCACCAGUCGAGGAUUAAGGCGUUGGUAAUCACUGUAUCAACGGCCCCAUCGGCGUUGGUAAUCGGAGAUUGGCCCAUACCAUCGCGG